UACGGGGGGGCAAGCGUUGUUCGGAAUUACUGGGCGUAAAGGGCUCGUAGGCGGCCAACUAAGCCAGAUGUGAAAGCCCCGGGCUUAACCUGGGAAUGGCAUUGGGACUGCAAGGCUUGAGUGCGGCAGAGGAGACUGGAAUUCCUGGUGUAGCAGUGAAAUGCGUAGAUAAUCAGGAGGAAUACCGAUGGCGAAGGCGCCACUCUGGGCCGAAACUGACGCUGAGGAGCCGAAAGCGUGGGUAGCAAA
rnacentral:rRNA from 1 species